AGAAUCAACGCUGGCGGCGUGCCUCAGACAUGCAAGUCGAACGCGAAAGUCCCCUUCGGGGGAUAAGUAGAGUGGCGCACGGGUGAGUAACACGUAGGUAAUCUACCUUCGGGUGGGGAAUAACCCAGGGAAACUUGGGCUAAUACCGCAUAAUGCAGCGGCACCACAUGGUGACAGUUGUUAAAGCGGGGGAUCUUCGGAUCUCGCGCCUGAAGAGGAGCCUGCGGCAGAUUAGCUAGUUGGUAAGGUAAUGGCUUACCAAGGCGACGAUCUGUA
rnacentral:rRNA from 1 species